UACGUAGGGUCCGAGCGUUGUCCGGAGUUACUGGGCGUAAAGCGCGCGCAGGCGGCGGUGCUGGCCCGGCGUGAAAGCCCCCGGCUCAACCGGGGAGAGUCGUCGGGGACCGCACCGCUUGAGGGCGGUAGGGGCUGGUGGAAUGCCUGGUGUAGUGGUGAAAUGCGUAGAGAUCAGGCAGAACCCCUGGGGCGAAGGCGGCCAGCUGGGCCGUCCCUGACGCUGAGGCGCGAAGGCGUGGGGAGCGAACGGG
rnacentral:rRNA from 1 species